CUACGGGAGGCAGCAGUGGGGAAUUUUGGACAAUGGGGGCAACCCUGAUCCAGCCAUGCCGCGUGCAGGAAGAAGGCCUUCGGGUUGUAAACCGCUUUUAGCUGGGAAGAAAAGGCCAUCGUUAAUAGCGGUGGUUCUUGACGGUACCGGCGGAAUAAGCACCGGCUAACUACGUGCCAGCAGCCGCGGUAAUACGUAGGGUGCGAGCGUUAAUCGGAAUUACUGGGCGUAAAGCGUGCGCAGGCGGUUCGUUGUGUUUGCGGUGAAAGCCCCGGGCUCAACCUGGGAAUGGCCGUGAAAACUGGCGAGCUGGAGUGUGGCAGAGGGGGGUGGAAUUCCAGGUGUAGCAGUGAAAUGCGUAGAGAUCUGGAGGAACACCGAUGGCGAAGGCAGCCCCCUGGGCUGACACUGACGCUCAGGCACGAAAGCGUGGGGAGCAAACAGGAUUAGAUACCCUGGUAGUCCACGCCCUAAACGAUGGCAACUGGGUGUUGGGGGAGCGAUUCCUCAGUACCGUAGCUAACGCGUGAAGUUGCCCGCCUGGGGAGUACGGCCGCAAGGUUAAAACUCAAAGGAAUUGACGG
rnacentral:rRNA from 1 species